rnacentral:lncRNA from 1 species
UCCAUGGCUCACAUUCCGCGAAUUUUAACAACUAAGCAGGGUCAGAAGAGCAGGACACGGCCACCGGCAGCACGCCUGUGAAACGGCCCGGGGGCGGCAGAGCGCCAGGGAAGUUUGAAGGCUUGGCCGGGGGAUACAAGACGAGACCAAAGAGACGUCCUCCAUCAUAUAGGCCAACAUCCGUACGCAGGAGGACACCACGGCCACUUCCACCUAAAGCAACCUUGGGCAGGGGACACUGCGGAGCGAGACCGCGAAAAGGGAAGUGCCAGGACAAUAAUGACAAGUGGUAUCACGAUGGAGCUUUCUACACUUGCUCCCGUGUGACGGAAGGAAUGUGCCCAACCGUUGGCAGAUUCUUCGAAAGCUGUGAUGAGUGCUUUGACAAAUGCCGAAUGGGCAGGCACAACAACUGCGAGUACCAGAAAUGAACCUGCGGCACAAGACGACAAGAGGCUUGGACGCCGUGACUUAUUCCGCAAUU